rnacentral:rRNA from 1 species
GAUGAACGCUGGCGGCGUGCUUAACACAUGCAAGUCGAACGAUGAAGCCCAGCUUGCUGGGUGGAUUAGUGGCGAACGGGUGAGUAACACGUGAGUAACCUGCCCUUAACUCUGGGAUAAGCCUGGGAAACUGGGGCUAAUACCGGAUAGGAGCGUCCCCCGCAUGGUGGGUGUUGGAAAGAUUUAUCGGUUUUGGAUGGACUCGCGGCCUAUCAGCUUGUUGGUGAGGUAUUGGCUCACCAAGGCGCCGACGGGUAGCCGGCCUGAGAGGGUGACCGGCCACACUGGGACUGAGACACGGCCCAGACUCCUACGGGAGGCAGCAGUGGGGAAUAUUGCACAAUGGGCGCAAGCCUGAUGCAGCGACGCCGCGUGAGGGAUGACGGCCUUCGGGUUGUAAACCUCUUUCAGUAGGGAAGAAGCGAAAGUGACGGUACCUGCAGAAGAAGCACCGGCUAACUACGUG